GAGAAGCCUUGAGGAAGAGGGAAGGAGAGGAGCAUGAAGAAGGAUCCUGAGGAGAGAGAAUCCCUGCUCUGAGGGUGUAAAUCCUGACGGCUUUGGAGGCUUUGGAUACUUCUGAAGAUGUACAUCAAGAGCUGUCAUGCCUUUUCUGAAGGAGAGUGCUCAGAAAUAGAAAGCUUCCUGAAGACAAUUAAUUCCAGUCCUGCCAGAGGAUCUUGGGACAGCAAUGUGGAAUAUUAAAGCAGCAGAUAUGAAAUAAACCCAAAACUUCAUAGGGAACCACUGGAAUGGAUGGGUUUGCUCGUUGUGUUUGUCCUAUCAGAUAUUAGAACGAGGCCCCUGUUGGAACGUGGCUGUCUGUUGGUCAUCCCCCAUAUUCCCUGGUAUUUCUGGUGUCCUCAGUCUCGGGAAGUUCAGUAAGUUGUGCUAUUUUUUUCCAGUAGAAAACUGUGUAAAUUAUAAUAAUUUGCAUAAAUUGUACACAACACUUCACUCUAGCUCUUUUGCAAAUGUAAAAGCAAAGCUAUUGUGUCUAUUCACGGACAGCUUGGCUGUUUCCUCUUAUGCCUGAAAGGGAAAAUUUGAAUUAUAACACCAGAGAUGUUCUCUGGUUGAUACUGUGGGACAGUUACAUUUUUCCUUUAAUUUUGAGCCUCCUUGUCCUAUUCUUGAUAAUGGCCUUCCAUGCAAAAGGAGUCUUGAAACAUACUUUUCUGUAAAUCUUUCCAUUUGCUCUG